UACAGAGGGGGCAAGCGUUAUUCGGAAUUAUUGGGCGUAAAGGGCGCGUAGGCGGCUUGGCAAGUGGAAGGUGAAAUCCCUCGGCUUAACCGAGGAACUGCCCUCCAAACUGCUUGGCUUGAGACCGGGAGAGGUGAGUGGAAUUCCCAGUGUAGCGGUGAAAUGCGUAGAGAUCGGGAAGAAUACCCGUGGCGGAGGCGGCCAGCUGGGCCAGAUCCGACACUGAGGCGCGAAAGCGUGGGGAGCAAACAGG
rnacentral:rRNA from 1 species